GUGUGACUGAAUGCGGGACCAGCUUUGGAAAAGCCUCUGAUCACGUCCUGCCUGGACCCUUCACUCAUAAGACAAACAGUGAGGAAGACUCAGAGCCAGAGAAUGCAGAGGAGUCGGAGGACAUCUGUACUCGUACGGAUCAGAGAGGACAUCUCUACUCGUACGGAUCAGAGAGGACAUCUCUACUCGUACGGAUCAGAGAGGACAUCUCUACUCGUACGGAUCAGAGAGGACAUCUCUACUCGUACGGAUCAGUCAGAGGACAUCUCUACUCGUACGGAUCAGUCAGAGGACAUCUCUACUCGUACGGAUCAGUCAGAGGACGUCUGUACUCGUACGGAUCAGCCGGAGUGGAUCCGUCAUAGGAUCACUCGCCUGCACGAAAUCAUCAGCCAGAUGGGAGUGUCUGCUUGCAUGGAGAUGAUCAGUUGGGGAGGAGCACCUCUGGUCAAACAAGAAGAGCUCAGAGAACCUCGGCACAGGUCAGUCAGUCUGAGAUGAACAUCUCUGCACACGUCAGUCAGUCUGAGAUGAACACCUCCUCUCCCCUAUGGAAAGAAUCAGUCAGAGACAAACAUCUCUCCUCCGAUGGAGUCAGAGGGUGACCUUUCCAAGACCUCUGCUUGUCGUGGGCUAAUCACUAAUGCCUACUCGCUCACUUCCGACUAAUACAUGGAAAUGGCUCACAAUCCUGCUGAAGAAAACAUCAGCAGAUCCCCAGCAGGGACAGGACAGGACAGGACACACACACACACACACACACACACACACACACACACACACACACACACACACACACACAGUCCCAUCGCUCUACUGCCAGUUGGUCUUCUUGAAUGAUCUUCUUGGAUGAGGCCUGCACGCACACACACACACACACACACACACAAAAGGGAUUUGACUGUGGCUACUGAUGCAGACAGAAGCACCCUUCUUCCACUCAACACCAGCUGAAGGGAUGGAUCCUCCACACCAGGUCUGUUGUAGAGCCCAGCCCGGCCCACCAGGAACCAGGCAGACUGCCUGUGUCAGGACAGCAGUGGAGACAGUAGACAGCUCAGUAGUCUUUGGAUAGCACUUCCUGCCGCCCCAGCCAAUGACGGCACUUCCUGCCGCCCCAGCCAAUGACAGCACUUCCUGCCGCCCAAGCCAAUGACACACCAGAGCCAGACAGGAGCCCACUUUGGAUGGGAUCGGGCCCUGAUUAGGCUUGGGUCUGCUUCGGAACAGCACCAGAACAGGCCCGGGUCUAGUCCAGUCAGGGGCUGUUUGAGGAGCCACAGCGGUCUUCCCCCCCCCCUAAACUCUACCCCUGGAUCUGCCUUUAGACAGAACCAGCAGAGAGACAACGCAAGACAGCUCUAGUCAGCCAUCUCCCAGCCAGCAGACAGACAGACAGACAGACAGACAACGCAAGACAGCUCUAGUCAGCCAUCUCCCAGCCAGCAGACAGACAGACAGACAGACAGACAGACAGACAGACAGACAACGCAAGACAGCUCUAGUCAGCCAUCUCCCAGCCAGCAGACACAGCACUGAAGACAAUGCAGGGCAAGACAGGGCAGGACAGGAGAGGACAAUGCAGGGCAGGAGAGGAGAGGACAAUGCAGGGCAGGGCAGGACAGGAGAGGACAGAACAGCUACAGAGUUGCACUUCAGGAGCAGAUCACCCUCCCCCUCAUUUCAUCUGUAGAAAAAUAAAUCUAACUAUAGUGAUUAUCCUCUCGUACA
ensembl:lncRNA